rnacentral:rRNA from 1 species
UACAGAGGUCUCAAGCGUUGUUCGGAUUCAUUGGGCGUAAAGGGCGCGUAGGCGGUGCGGUAAGUCACCUGUGAAACCUCUAGGCUUAACCUAGAGCCUGCAGGCGAAACUGCCGUGCUGGAGUGUGGGAGAGGUGCGUGGAAUUCCCGGUGUAGCGGUGAAAUGCGUAGAUAUCUGGAGGAACACCGGUGGCGAAGGCGGCAUCCUGGACCGGUAUUGACGCUGAGGCGCGAAAGCUAGGGGAGCAAACGGG